rnacentral:rRNA from 1 species
CACGCCGUAAACGGUGGGUACUAGGUGUGGGGAACAUUCCACGUUCUCUGUGCCGUAGCUAACGCAUUAAGUACCCCGCCUGGGGAGUACGGCCGCAAGGCUAAAACUCAAAGGAAUUGA